rnacentral:misc_RNA from 1 species
GUCCUGGGCCAUCAACUGCUA